rfam:Schistosoma rodhaini strain Burundi genome assembly, scaffold: SROB_scaffold0003864
AUCCAGCUGAUGAGUCCCAAAUAGGACGAAACGUGCGUCCUGGAU